UGGGGAAUAUUGCACAAUGGGCGGAAGCCUGAUGCAGCAACGCCGCGUGCGGGAUGACGGCCUUCGGGUUGUAAACCGCUUUCGCCUGUGACGAAGCGUGAGUGACGGUAAUGGGUAAAGAAGCACCGGCUAACUACGUGCCAGCAGCCGCGGUGAUACGUAGGGUGCGAGCGUUGUCCGGAUUUAUUGGGCGUAAAGGGCUCGUAGGUGGUUGAUCGCGUCGGAAGUGUAAUCCUGGGGCUUAACCCUGAGCGUGCUUUCGAUACGGGUUGACUUGAGGAAGGUAGGGGAGAAUGGAAUUCCUGGUGGAGCGGUGGAAUGCGCAGAUAUCAGGAGGAACACCAGUGGCGAAGGCGGUUCUCUGGGCCUUUCCUGACGCUGAGGAGCGAAAGCGUGGGGAGCGAACAGGCUUAGAUACCCUGGUAGUCCACGCUGUAAACGGUGGGUACUAGGUGUGGGGUCCAUUCCACGGGUUCCGCGCCGUAGCUAACGCUUUAAGUACCCCGCCUGGGGAGUACGGCCGCAAGGCUA
rnacentral:rRNA from 1 species